CAGUAGCCGCGGUAAUACGUAGGUCCCGAGCGUUGUCCGGAUUUAUUGGGCGUAAAGCGAGCGCAGGCGGUUAGAUAAGUCUGAAGUUAAAGGCUGUGGCUUAACCAUAGUACGCUUUGGAAACUGUUUAACUUGAGUGCAGAAGGGGAGAGUGGAAUUCCAUGUGUAGCGGUGAAAUGCGUAGAUAUAUGGAGGAACACCGGUGGCGAAAGCGGCUCUCUGGUCUGUAACUGACGCUGAGGCUCGAAAGCGUGGGGAGCAAACAGGAUUAGAUACCCCUGUAGUCCCUGUCUCUUAUACA
rnacentral:rRNA from 1 species